rnacentral:precursor_RNA from 13 species
UUGAAUCCAUCUCAGGGCUUUCAAUCCCUGUAACCGCUUAAUAUAUGCCAUAAUCAAUCAAUCAAUGGUAUUUGUUGAGCGUUUACGGGGUGCAGAGCACUGUACUAAGCACUUGGG